rnacentral:rRNA from 1 species
GACGAACGCUGGCGGCGUGCCUAAUACAUGCAAGUUGAGCGAUGAAGAUUGGUGCUUGCACCAAUUUGAAGAGCAGCGAACGGGUGAGUAACGCGUGGGGAAUCUGCCUUUGAGCGGGGGACAACAUUUGGAAACGAAUGCUAAUACCGCAUAACAACUUUAAACAUAAGUUUUAAGUUUGAAAGAUGCAAUUGCAUCACUCAAAGAUGAUCCCGCGUUGUAUUAGCUAGUUGGUGAGGUAAAGGCUCACCAAGGCGAUGAUACAUAGCCGACCUGAGAGGGUGAUCGGCCACAUUGGGACUGAGACACGGCCCAAACUCCUACGGGAGGCAGCAGUAGGGAAUCUUCGGCAAUGGACGAAAGUCUGACCGAGCAACACCGCGUGAGGGAAGAAGGUUUUCGGAUCGUAAAACUCUGUUGGUAGAGAAGAACGUUGGUGAGAGUGGAAAGCUCAUCAAGUGACGGUAACUACCCAGAAAGGGACGGCUAACUACGUG